GAAGAGCGGGGAGGGUGCGGGCGAGGUGUGGGCGGAGUCAGUGUCCCGCCUUUGAGCCCUUCCGCCAAGACUUCAACGAGAGCCGGCUAGGUGCAGUGCGCAGGCGCCGGGCGUAACGCCGCGAGCUGGCCCCGCCCGCGGGCGGUUGGCGGGCUGUGCUGCGGGGCCGACGCAGGAGGGUGGAUGCCGGAGGGAGGGCGCGGGCGCAACCAGAGUCGCAGCCGGGAGGACGGGAGCGUCCGCGGUCCCUCCUGUUGCAGUGAGAGUGGCGCGCGCGAGCGGUGCCCUGAGUCCACAGCCGUGGAGGACCUGAGCCCCGGGAGGGGGAGCUGCCGAAAAUACCUGUUCAGAGCUUUCGGAAUUGCUGGUGGUGAUUCAGGCGCUGAAGACCAGGAGAAUCACCUGCGGAGAGCAUGAGCGAGAAAGGGAGACACAGAAUCUGAAGCAGCCUCUAGGCUCUGAGCUGUCAGCACAGAGCCCAACGCGGGGCUCAAACUCACAGACCUGAACGAGAUCAUAACCUGAACCAAAGUUGGACGCCCAACCGACUGAGCUACCCAGGAGGGAGACGGUGUCCAUGCAGGACCCACAGCCUGCCAAUGAGAGGUGCCCCCCAGCAUAAUGCUCCAUCAGUGCAGGUAAACGGGUCACGGCUCGGUGAAUGAAUGAAUGAACAAACGAAUGAAUGUUAUUGCAGAGGCCUCUAGGCACCUCCCCUGCCCUUACAGUGCCCUCUGAGAGUUUCCUUACCUUAAGGGAGAGGAGCCAUUCUAACUGCCUCACAGGGCUCGUGACUUAAUAUCAAGAGAGAGUGAAGGUUGGUGAAUAAAUGAAUUAAUAAUGAGAAGCACUAAGAAUUAAGUCAGGCUCACAACGCAACAAGGUGAAUCAGUCUCACCCGUUUUGUUUCCUGCCUGGAGGUUCCUGACUGGCUCCCACACCUAUCCCUCCACCUCAUCCAACCCCCUUCCUUCCACAUGGGCUACCAGCGAGACUUCUGUGUAUCUGCAAGUCCCUUGAAUGGCUCCCCACUGCCUGUAAGGCUCACCCAACCCCCGUGGCAUGGAGCCUGGCAGCAAGAGGGCUCCUGUUAAAACCUAAGGUGGAACAGUUCCCUCCUCUGUCCAGAGCUCUCCUAUAGCUCUCGCUGCACUCAGAGUAAAAACCAAAUAUAAUUCUUACCAUGGGCCUUGUGUCCUCCUACUCUCCCACUCUUCUCCGGCCAACUGACCCCUACUGCUGUUCCGCACAUGUGCCAGGCACACUCCUACACCAGGGCCUUUGCACUUGCUGUGCCCCUCGGCCUAGAACCUCUUCCCAAUGGACACCUGCCAGUCUCACUCUCCCACCUCCUUCGUGCCUUUACUCCGGUAUCUCCCUCUCAGUGGGGACUUCCCUGGACACCUUUCCUAAAAUG